GCUCCUGGGUGGACAUCCUGACUGUCCACGAGUCAGAGGGAAGGCACAGUGGCUGAGAAUGAACAGCUGAAGAUUGAAGGAUUCCCCGAAGACAUCCUCCUUUCUUCACUUCUGGAAACUGACAGCUACCUUAUUGGGAAAAUGUCUGUGCAGAUGCCCUUAACUAAGAUCCUCGAGGUGAGGUCAGCUAAACGUUCUGGGCAUGCCCCAAGCUCAUGACAAGUUGACAUCAUGAUGAGGGCACAGGGCCAGACAGAGAGAAGAGAUGGUCACACAAAGAUGGAGGCAGAUGGGAUACCAGCUCACUCUUUCCUGAUGACCACAGGAAGGACCUACGCAAGCCUCUAAGGGCUCACAAAGUCCUGUCUGCAGCAGUACUCCGCUUACAGAAAACACAAAUGCUCUGGAAUCCUCAGUUUCCACACCCUACAUCUGGACUCAGCCGCAGGCUUCCUGUUCUGCAGAAUUCCGACAGCACGUUGUCCUGCCCUCAGCCUGGACACCCAGAGCUACUCCAGAACUGCCAGUACCUGCUGCAUUCCUUAAUCCUCUCAUAUGUGACCACAAAUGCUCAAG